rnacentral:rRNA from 1 species
AUUGAACGCUGGCGGCAAGCCUAACACAUGCAAGUCGAACGAGUGGCGGACGGGUGAGUAAUGUCUGGGAAACUGCCUGAUGGAGGGGGAUAACUACUGGAAACGGUAGCUAAUACCGCAUACCAUCGGAUGUGCCCAGAUGGGAUUAGCUAGGAGGUGGGGUAAAGGCUCACCGAGGCGACGAUCCCUAGCUGGUCUGAGAGGAUGACCGGCAACACUGGAACUGAGACACGGUCCAGACUCCUCCGGGAGGCAGCAGUGGGGAAUAUUGCACAAUGGGGGAAAGCCUGAUGCAGCCAUGCCGCGUGUAUGAAGAAGGCCUUCGGGUUGUAAAGUACUUUCAGCGGGGAGGCGUUACCCACAGAAGAAGCACCGGCUAACUCCGUGCCAGCCGCCGCGGUAAUUC